rnacentral:SRP_RNA from 1 species
GCCGGGCGUGGUGGCACCUUCCUGUAGUCCCAGGUACUUGGGAGGCUGAGGUGGGAGGAUCUCUUGAGCCCAGGAGUUCCGUGUUGUAGUGUGCUAAGCUGAUCAGGCAUCCCACUAAGUUCGGCAUCAAUAUGGUGAGCUCCUGGGAGCAGGGGACCACCAGGUUGCCUAAGGAGGGCUGAACUGGCUCAGGUCAGAAAUGGAGCAGGUCAAAACUCCUGUGCUGAUCAGUAGGAGGGGAUUGUGACUCUGAAUAGCCACUGCCCUCCAGCCUGGGCAACAUAGCGUGACCCCAUCUCUA